GACGAACGCUGGCGGCGUGCCUAAUACAUGCAAGUGGAGCGCUGAAGGUUGGUACUUGUACCAACUGGAUGAGCAGCGAACGGGUGAGUAACGCGUGGGGAAUCUGCAUUUGAGCGGGGGACAACAUUUGGAAACGAAUGCUAAUACCGCAUAAAAACUUUAAACACAAGUUUUAAGUCUGAAAGAUGCAAUUGCAUCACUCAAAGAUGAUCCCGCGUUGUAUUAGCUAGUUGGGGAGGUAAAGGCUCACCAAGGCGAUGAUACAUAGCCGACCUGAGAGGGUGAUCGGCCACAUUGGGACUGAGACACGGCCCAAACUCCUACGGGAGGCAGCAGUAGGGAAUCUUCGGCAAUGGACGAAAGUCUGACCGAGCAACGCCGCGUGAGUGAAGAAGGGUUUCGGAUCGUAAAACUCUGUUGGUAGAGAAGAACGUUGGUGGGAGUGGAAAGCUCAUCAAGUGACGGUAACUACCCAGAAAGGGACGGCUAACUACGUG
rnacentral:rRNA from 1 species